rnacentral:lncRNA from 1 species
GCGGUAGCCCUCGAUCACCUCUUUCUGUUUCUCAAAACGCUUGAAGAGGUCGGAGAAGGACUUCUCCAUGGAGUUCAGAUCUGUGGUAAGUUGGUCUUUUUCUUUUAGAACUUUCUGGAUUUCAGCUUUGGAAAGUUCCUUCUGCUUCUGAACUUCCUCUUGAGAAAAGAAAAGCAAACGUUCAGGAUGAGGAGGCAACCGAAACGAUGGGUGCCAGAGACAGCCCAAGGAAUGAGGCAAGGGACUCGAGCGCCAGGAGGAGAGAUCCGCAGGGAACUGGAGCCUGGGCCAGAGGUCCCUGAAGAGGCGGCGCCCAACACCCUAGAGCCUAGGGUGAGGCCUGGGAGCCGGUAUGGCGAGCUCCAGGAUGUGCGUCGUGCUUCGUGGUGGUCCUGGAGGGACUGCAAGGGCCAGGCGGUCACCUGCCGCCGGCUGACACUCAGCCUAAGACAGAUCCCCACAGUAGCACCUCCAGGAGCCCAAGCUUUUGGGAGGCCAGAUGAGGCCUGGUGUUCCCGUCCUGCCAGACACCUACAGAGGCUGCUGCUAGACAUAGCCGCACGGCGAGGGCAGGGUGGAGUGGGGUAGGCCACGGCGGGACAGACUCUGCUCCCACCACAGCCCCACUGCUAGCUCAGCAUCUGCACAACUGUGGGGCCUGCCAAGCCCUGGCUCCGUGGGAGCCACCAGCCUCACUACCACCAGCUUCCCCGCAACUCGCCUCAGUGCUUCCACGGCCGGGCCCAUGUUGAAGGGACUCGUGUGUUAGGAAAAGGGGCCUCAGGAGGGUGGGGUCCUAGGCAGGGUGCAGGGCAGGGCCAGGGUGGGGCAUAGGCAGCCCCUCGUGGAGGCACGUGGCCUCGGUGGCCCGGGCACUCACCCAUGGCCUGGUACACAACCUCUUCGAACCUGUCCAUGAUCUUCCUGUGGGAGGAGAACAGACACACAGCCAUUGCCUCGGGUGCCCAGCGGUCCCAGGCCAGGUGGGGAUGGGGACGGGGACAGGGAUGGCGAGGGGGAUGGGGACAAGGAUGGCGAGGGGGAUGGGGACAAGGAUGGCGAGGGGGAUGGGGACGGGGAGGACAGGAGACGGGGCCUCCUUACCCCAGUUCCAGGUUCUUCCCGUGGAGCUCCUCACACCUGCUCCUCAGCUCCCGGUUCUCCUCCUGUGUCGCCUUUACCUGCUCAGGCCACACCCAAGUCAGCAGGCAGGCGGGCCAGACUGACCCUCCCAGGACCUCCCCACAGGAUGGGGCCAGCCCGCACCCGAGGUCCCUGGAGCAAUGUCCCAGAGGCACAGUUCCAUGUGGGGCUUCCAGUGGGACCCUGGGAACCCUGUCGAGGCCAAGGCCACCUGCUCCACGUGCACCCGACUGCCAGGGGGCAGGAGGCAUGAGGCUGCUGGCUGUGCUCCUGGGUGGAACCAGCAGGCACCCAACAGGUGUGUGUCCCUGCAGCUGCCCCCGCAGCCCAGUGGCAGAUACUAGGGGUCCUAAGUGUUAAAUAUAGUGAACUCCAAGUUUGUCUUCAAAGAAUCAGUAAGUCAGUAUGUUCAGAUCUCUUUUUUUUUUUUUGAGACAAGAGUCUCACUCUGUCGCCCAGGCUGGAGUGCAGUCACGUGAUCUCUGCUUGCUGCAAGCUCCGCCUCCCGGGUUCAAGCCAUUGUCUUGCUUCGGCCUCCCGAGUAGGUGGGACUACAGGUGCCCACCACCACGCCCGGCUAAUUUUUGUAUUUUUUAGUAGAGACAGGGUUUCACCGUGUUAGCCAGGAUGGUCUCCAUCUCUUGACCUCGUGAUCCGCCCACCUCGGCCUCCCAAAGUACUGGGAUUACAGGCGUGACCCACUGCACCCGGCCAGAUCUCUUCUUUGAUUCUCCAUUUAAAAUUCCUGGUUCUCUUCGCCCCUUGCUUCUAGUUUCAGUAAACAAUUUUCCCGCCAGUCCUAAUCAGUAGUUCACAUCUGUUCCCUGGUCACCUGCUCCAUCCUGACUCAUCCCGGUCACCUGCUCUGACCUAAGUCACCUUGAGUUACCUGUUCCUAACCGUCCUUCCCGUCAAACUACUCACCCCACCACUCUGACUCUUACCCUGCCCUCUUUAAAAUAGCCAAUUGGAAUUGGCUUAGACUGUGUGGUCCAACCUUAGCCAACAGGGGAACAACACAGCAGUAGGGCUACCUGUGUCAGGAAUAAGAACCCCUUCCCCUCCCUUGUUCAGGUGUGCUCUUGCCAUUGCUCCAUCUGCGAGGGGCACCCUUUCUGCAGAAAGUAAAAACUGCCUUGCUGAGAAAAUUAAUGUUCGAG